ensembl:lncRNA
CUGACAGAGCAUGUAGAAUGAAAGUCAUAGCAGCAGCAGGCUGCAAUCUAUUCUCUCCUUACUAGAGAAUGCUUCAAAAAAAAAAAAAAAAAGGCCUGAUGAACAUUAAAUGUGGUAUCAAGUUCACUAUAUCAAACAAUGGGAUCUGAUAAACCUGAAAUGUAAGGGCGAAUUUCAAGAGAACUUGAUUAAAUGCUGAAACGUUUAAAGAUAAGAUGUUUCACCUGCAUUUCUGAACCAUUUCUGAAAUCCAUGAAAUGAAUGCUAAAGCUGACCAUCAAGACCUGAGAAGGAGCAAAAUGGUGUGAUAAAGCUGUGUUCCUUCCAAAGCUGGAUGAAGGUGUCAACAAGGUCUUUAGGAAAAGCAAAGUCACAAGAAGAAAAACAGCAUGAGUCUCUGAGUCAUUGCAUAGGGAAAAACCAUUCUCUGAUGAAGAAUACCCACCUUGAGCUCUCCUGAGGAAUUGCUGCAGAGGGAGAAAGCAGAGACUGCUUGAAAGGAGAAACAAGAAUGGCAAGAUAACAAAGAUUCACACAUCGUUCUACCGCACACCCAGAUUCUUUUCUCCAAUGCAACCACCCUAUUCUGAUCUCUAACCCUGGCAGUGACAAACGGAUGAUGCUUUGUAGAAUGAAUAUGUCUCGAAUUCAUGUGGUAUAUUAGAUGGUACCUAACUGGGUUUUACAUGAGAAGGAGGAGGAUGUCCUGCCCUCUUGGAUCUGUUUCUUUGUUUGGCAUGUCCACACCUGCCACCUUUUCCAGCAGGUUGUUAUUGGGAGGCUGGCCCUGCUUUCCUACUCAAGGGUCUGGGAACUACACUGAACACCACCCCACCACCAUGGUGGCCUGUACCCAGUCACUGACUGGUGUGGAGUCACCUCUGCAUCAAGGUGGAAUAUUUACGCCCAAAACCUUUCUUUAGAAUCAAAUUCCUUCCCUUUCAUUUCCUACUACAUUUCAUCAUGGAUUUCUCCUUAGAGCCCUCUCAAAAAAUCGCUUGCUCACAUACUGCCUUCUCAGGCUCCACUUUUAGGAAACCCAACCCAAAACAACAUGGAUGAGGGAGGGCCAUAUUGCUUCCAAACUGGGACGAAGUGAAGCUAAUGCUCUAUUUUGAUAGUGUUGCUGCCCUUAUUCAUGAAUCUAUUUCAUUCAACAAAUGCCUUUAAUGAGAUAAUUUGUGCAAGGUCCUAGGUUUCAGGGAAGAUAAGCUUUGGGGUGAUUAUAAUUAUUUUAGGCUGAUAAGCAUCAUUUAAAUUUCAACAGCAAUACCUGAAUUCAAUAAAAAUUUCAGGAGUAACAAUUAACUGACAACAAAUGGUACGAGCAAUAUGUAGCAUGAUGCUGAACUAUAAUCCACACUCCUGGAAUCUUAUAAGGGCUGUUUCAAUAAAGUCAAAAGCAGUGUCAUACAAGCAUAACAAAUAUUUAGCUCAAAGUAAAGGUGAUGGAGGCAGAAAAGUUAGAGACAAAGACCUGAAUCUAAAUCCCAUCCAAACACAAGUCCUGUGACUUGGGAUCAUUUUCUUAUUCCUUUCUGAGUGUAAAUUUCUUAAUCUGGAAAAAAAAAAAAGAAAAAGAAAACAACAAUUAUUUUACCAGAAAGUAUUGAACAUUAAAUAUAAAGCAUUCUGAACAAUGCCUGUCUCAAUGAAUGUCUUCAUAAUGUCAUCAGCUAAAAGGGAAUUUAGGUCUGGCACAUCUCCAAAGUGAAUCAAUGAGAACAAUGAAGGAAAAUUUCAAUAAACCCUUGGUCAGAAGAUAUAUACAAGAUCAUAAAAAGAUGCUAAUCAUACUCCCAAUCACCGACCUCAAAACCUUGCAGUAAAUUUAGACACCUGGCAACUCAAAUCUUUGAAGCUUCUCAAAAUUCUUGCCUCUGUUCCUUCUAGGCUUAACUACCACCAUCGCUUAGCUCAGAUGCAGAACACCUCACACCUGGAAUACUGGAAGAACCAAAUCGCUUUUUCUAAAAUGUCACUUUAUUCAUAUAAUUCCUUUGAUCUAAAUGGUCUAUAUGAAUAUUCAAUGCUCCUGGAAUAAAUUCUAGACUUCUUAGUCUGGUAUUCAAGAUUCUUGAUGAUCUCAUGACAAUCUACUUUUCCAGCGUCAUUUCCUACUGGCCCUUGAGAUUAACCCCAGAUUUCAGGCCAUCUUGUCUUCUCUCUGUCCCUGCACUUGCUCUGAUCUUCUUUCUCUGCUCAUAAGGAACAGAAUAUUCUCUCUCAAUUGUCAUCUCUCUAACUCUUAUCAAUGCAGCAGUGCCCAAUAUAAAUGGCGUCUCUUCCACAAGCUUUUCUGUAUCAUCC